rnacentral:misc_RNA from 1 species
GGAGAAGGUUUCUGGUUUGGUGGAGGAGGAAGCUCUGCUCGAGGGGCACCGCCGUACGACGAAAGCUGGUGGUUUCGGAGAUGGAAGAGUUGCGGUUUCGCUGCCGAGCAUGAAGACCACAUUCGACAUGGUGGGUCGAUCCCAUGGAUCUUCCUGCACACACAACAGCCCCACAUUUAAACACUUCAAAUAUUCAUCUCUUUUGCAAUUCCCCCUCAGUGUUUGCUCCAUUAAAUCCAAGCCUUCGUCUUUC